AUUAGAGUUUGAUCAUGGCUCAGGACGAACCGCUGGCGGCGUGCCUUAAUACAUGCAAGUCGAGCGCAGGAAACCGGCGGAACCCUUCGGGGGGAAGCCGGUGGAAUGAGCGGCGGACGGGUGAGUAACACGUGGGCAACCUGCCUUUCAGACUGGGAUAACCCCGGGAAACCGGGGCUAAUACCGGAUAACCAGCCGGUUCGCAUGAACCGGCUGUAAAAGAGGGGAGUUUUCUCCUCUCACUGAAAGAUGGGCCCGCGGCGCAUUAGCUAGUUGGUAAGGUAGUGGCUUACCAAGGCGACGAUGCGUAGCCGACCUGGGGGGGUGAUCGGCCACACUGGAACUGAGACACGGUCCAGACUCCUACGGGAGGCAGCAGUAGGGAAUCAUCCGCAAUGGGCGAAAGCCUGACGGUGCAACGCCGCGUGAACGACGAAGGUUUUCGGAUCGUAAAGUUCCGUUGUGAGGGAAGAACAACGUGCCGGUCAAACAUGGCGGGCACCUUGAACGGUACCUCACGA
rnacentral:rRNA from 1 species